UCCAGACUCCUACGGGAGGCAGCAGUGGGGAAUAUUGGACAAUGGGCGCAAGCCUGAUCCAGCCAUACCGCGUGGGUGAAGAAGGCCUUCGGGUUGUAAAGCCCUUUUGUUGGGAAAGAAAUCCAGCUGGCUAAUACCCGGUUGGGAUGACGGUACCCAAAGAAUAAGCACCGGCUAACUUCGUGCCAGCAGCCGCGGUAAUACGAAGGGUGCAAGCGUUACUCGGAAUUACUGGGCGUAAAGCGUGCGUAGGUGGUCGUUUAAGU
rnacentral:rRNA from 1 species